GCGAAAACACAAGUCCAUGGGAAUUAGGAAUGCUUAAUUGUAAUGUUAUGAUGGCUUGUCCUAAGGCUUUAAGAUUUAUAUGGAUUACACUUUGUGACAUUUGUUUGUUGUUUGCAAAAACAAAACCAGACAUUAAGUGUUUGAAAUAAGCCUUAAUCUCAACUAAAAGGUAGAUUACAGAAAUUUCUCAUUGUUUUCCAUUUUUUGUGAGAUAAAUAUGCCAUAUCAGGCGUCUAAUAAUAACAUUCUCUUCUAUUGUGUCAUUCUAUGCCUUUUAGCCCUCACUCUACGUUUCUUUGAUUCUCUCUACAAAUGUGGCUGAAACACUUAUUUUGUAUUGUGUUACCUGAAGAAAUA
rnacentral:misc_RNA from 1 species